rnacentral:lncRNA from 1 species
CUUCUUCUUACGCUUUUUUCUGUAUACUCCUUUGCCUCACUUUGAUGAAUCAUCUGGACUGUCUUCCCCAACGGCCACCUGCCUAACGAUACUAUUUAGCCCCAUUGAUUCUAGAAAGAUCCGUACAUGGUUUAUAUAUAGAAAUGAAAAUGUAUGAAGAAUUGACUAAAACAUAAAGUUUUAUUCAAAGAAAAAGGUCUAAGAGUAUAAAGAACUCUUAAACUUAUUUAAUUACAUGAAAUAUCCAAAAUGGAUCUACUGUCUUUCAGGAAUUAGCCUCGCAGUCUAGACAAAGAAAAUUUUUCUUUAAAAUUUUUUUCCUCUACUCCUUGUUUGAAGUUCUUUCUUUUAUAGUCGAUUGAAAAUAUUCCUCCUUUUCCUCAUUGGUUCUUUUCUCAUUAUCAACAGUUUUUCUUUUGCCGAAAGCAAAAGUAGUGAUAAAAUGAUAUAACAAAAUUUGUCUUCUUUCCCUGAUUUUCAAAAAUGCUCCCUCUUUUUAAUAAGUAGGUAUAGUCUUUGUCAAAAGUUGGCAUCUUUUUUCCAAAAACCAGUUGACAUGCUCUUUUGAAAACAAGAUUUUUAAUCUGGUUGGUCCUCCUGGAUUUUGCUUUUGGUGGAUGCUCCACUUGGCUCACCAUCAUCUUGUAUUGUAUUUUUCCCUUUGUCAUUUUCUUCAAUUGUAUUACACCAUUGGCAUUCGUGAUGUUUUCCAAAACUUUGUCUUAAUGCUUUGCAUAAUUGGCCUUGGAAAUUUGAUGGGGUUAUUGGACAAAUUAUAAAAAUUCUUUUCAAAAUAGCAAAGAAUUUUUAUUCCUUUCAAUUGGAUUGUUGAUCCAGUCUUACUUGUAACCAAGAUAAAAUCUGAAAAAUAAUUCACCUUGAUUUUUGAUUCAUUGUUGAAGGUCUUCAAUCCUAUUAAAAUUAUCUGGAAAGAGAGAUUUCUCCAUUCAUGAAGUAUUUGCUCAUUAAAACAUUCAAUCUGUCAUUGGAUUGGUUUAUUCAGAAUCACUUCUGGAAUUGUCUUGAUCUGAAUAUGGUGGUAUCCUUUAAUUAGGAAACCUUCUUCAUUCCAAAACGGAAUAGUACUGUUAAUUUUCAGCAUCAUCUGCAGUUUCUGGUCUUUAAUAACAAAUUUCUUAAAAUCUUUUAAAACUUUAAUCAAAUUGUUAUCAAUCUUCUUAAUUUCUUCUAUUGAUUCACUAAGAAUUAUCAUCUUGAUUAAUCUACAGUGAAAUGUUGUUUAUACCAUUGUUGGAUCAGCUCCUUCAAAAAAGAUAAAUUGUCCAAAUUUCUUUUUCAUUGUUCCAUAGUAUCCUUUUUCUGGAACAAAUGUUCCCACAAUUCGAGCUUCUUCUUCAUAUUGAAGAAAGUCAUUCAUUGUAAUUCCACUAAGAAUUGGACUCUCUUGUGGUUUUGGAAUUUUUCCAAUUCUUUUGAAUCUACUUGGUAUGGAUUCAUUUUCUGUAUGGGAUUCACCUGCAUCUUUGAAAGAUAUCAUUCUAAUCUUUUGGUUUUCACUUGGUGGUGGUCGAAAGAGUUGGGCUGAUAAUCUGGGCCUUGGUCUUGGAUUUGAACAAUAGUUUGGUCUUAAAUGAAUAUUGUCAUAUUCAAAAAGUUGUUUGUAUGGCAUGCUUUGGCCUUUGGCUUCAUGAAAGUCUGAAAAUGCUCUUUGGACUUCUGUAUAGGCUUUGAAACUUUUGUAUUUGUGGGGCUUAUGUUUCACAAGUGGUUCAACUUGAGCCCAAUUAGUAUAAAAUCCUCUGUGUGGUCUAUCAAGUUGAAAAAAGAUGCCAACUUUUGACAAAGACGAUACCUACUUUUUAAAAAGAGGGAGCAUCUUUGAAAAUCCGGGAAAGAAGAAAAAAAUUUUGUUAUAUCACUUUAUCACUACUUUUGCUUUCGGCAAAAGAAAAACUGUUGAUAAUGACAAAAGAACCAACGAGAGAAAGAAGGAAUCUUUCCAAUCAGCUAUAAAAGGAAGAACUUCAAAUAAGGAGAGGAGGAAAAAAAAAAUUUGAAGAAAAAUUUUCUUUGUCUAGAAUCCUUGAUGUAUAGACUGCGAGGCUAAUCCCUCAAAAACAGUAGAUCUAUUUUGGAACUUUCAUAUAAUUAAAUAAGUUUAAG